AUUGAACGCUGGCGGCAGGCCUAACACAUGCAAGUCGAACGAGUGGCGGACGGGUGAGUAAUGUCUGGGAAACUGCCCGAUGGAGGGGGAUAACUACUGGAAACGGUAGCUAAUACCGCAUACCAUCUGAUAUGCCCAGAUGGGAUUAGCUAGUAGGUGGGGUACAGGCUCACCAGGGCGACGAUCCCUAGCUGGUCUGAGAGGAUGACCCGCCACACUGGAACUGAGACACGGUCCAGACUCCUACGGGAGGCAGCAGUGGGGAAUAUUGCACAAUGGGCGCAAGCCUGAUGCAGCCAUGCCGCGUGUAUGAAGAAGGCCUUCGGGUUGUAAAGUACUUUCAGCGAGGAGGCGUUACUCGCAGAAGAAGCACCGGCUAACUCCGUGCCAGCCGCCGCGGUAAUAC
rnacentral:rRNA from 1 species